rnacentral:rRNA from 1 species
AUUGAACGCUGGCGGAAUGCUUUACACAUGCAAGUCGAGCGGCAGCGCGGGGCAACCUGGCGGCGAGCGGCGAACGGGUGAGUAACAUAUCGGAACGUACCCAGUGGUGGGGGAUAACACAUCGAAAGAUGUGCUAAUACCGCAUACGACCUGAGGGUGAAAGGGGGGGAUCGCAAGACCUCUCGCCGUUGGAGCGGCCGAUAUCGGAUUAGCUAGUUGGUGGGGUAAAGGCUCACCAAGGCGACGAUCCGUAGCUGGUCUGAGAGGACGACCAGCCACACUGGAACUGAGACACGGUCCAGACUCCUACGGGAGGCAGCAGUGGGGAAUUUUGGACAAUGGGGGCAACCCUGAUCCAGCCAUUCCGCGUGAGGGAAGAAGGCCUUCGGGUUGUAAACCUCUUUCGGCAGGAACGAAACGGUGUGGAUUAAUACUCCAUAUCAAUGACGGUACCUGAAGAAGAAGCACCGGCUAACUACGUGCCAGCAGCCGCGGUAAUA